rnacentral:rRNA from 1 species
CCCUUAGAUGAUUUGGGCUGCACGCGCGCUACACUGACCCUAACAAUGAGCAACUGUCUGGCCUGAGAUGGCUGGGUAGCCUUUUCAACCCAUGUCAUGAUUGGGCUAGAUUUUUGUAAGUCUUGAUCUCUAACGAGGAAUCCCUAGUAUGCGUGAAUCAUCAAUCCAUGCAGAUUAUGUCCCUGCCCUUUGUACACACCGCCCGCCGCUCCUACUGAUUGGGUGAUCCGGUGAGCUGUUCGGCCAUAGCAAUGUUUCUUGAGCAGGGCGAUGAAUGUUUCGCAAACCUUGCCACUUAGAGGAAGGAGAAGUCGUAACA